rnacentral:siRNA from 1 species
UGCCAAUGGGUCUGCAUGCC